rnacentral:lncRNA from 1 species
UGGUAGACAGUUGACCCACACAAACUAUUUGUGAUGGACUAAAAUAAUACAAACGGUUAACUGAAUACAAGUGUGUGUGAUGUACGACAUAUGGUUCAUCCAGAUGAACUGUUUGCGAUGAGGCAAAUAACACAACCUAUUCGGCGUCUGAAGUUGUGUGUGAUAUCAGGCAAAUAGGUCGCUCAGACGAACUAUUUGCGAUGACAAAAGUAACACAAGUAUUUAGCGCAACAAGAUGUGUGUGAUACCCGACAAAUAGGUAAGUAAUCGGGAUUGUGUGGGAAGACUGAUAAAAAGAUAGACGAUUCUUGAUAAUAAGUUGUGUGUGCUGUGGGCAAACACCUGGUAGCACCCAAUUGUGUGUGAUUGUUGAAAUCAUCACCGACGUGUUCCUUUCUUUAAUCGUAAGUGAUGCGAUUCUCUCGGUUUGUAUACCAUAUAUGCUCUGUCUACAGAACAACAACAUGAUAGCAUAACCUAAAUAAACAUCCAAUUACAUUACUGACUACAGAUAACAUUUGCACACCUCAA